GGGCUGUGUCUCAGUCNCAGUGUGGCUGAUCAUCCUCUCAGACCAGCUAAGGACGUCGACUUGGUAGGCCAUUACCCCACCAACUAUCUAAUCCUACGCGGGCCCAUCCAAANGCGAUAAAUCUUUGGUCCGAAGAAAUUAUCCGGUAUUANCUCAAAUUUCUCUGAGUUAUUCCGAACCNANGGGCAGGUUCCCACGCGUUACGCACCCGUGCGCCACUCCCUCUAAAAGAGGGCGUNCGACUUGCNUGUNUUAGGCAUGCCGCCAGCGUUCGUUCUGAGCCAUGAUCAACCUCAANUU
rnacentral:rRNA from 1 species